rnacentral:rRNA from 1 species
CGCACUAGUGAUUUUCCGGAAGAUCCUGCCGGACCUGACUGCUAUCGGAUUGAUACUAAGCCAUGCGAGUCAUUGUAGCAAUACAAGGCAGACGGCUCAGUAACGCGUAGUCAACCUAACCUAUGGACGGGAAUACCCUCGGGAAACUGAGAAUAAUGCCCGAUAGAACAUUAUGCCUGGAAUGGUUUAUGUUCCAAAUGAUUUAUCGCCGUAGGAUGGGACUGCGGCCUAUCAGUUUGUUGGUGAGGUAAUGGCCCACCAAGACUAUUACAGGUACGGGCUCUGAGAGGAGUAGCCCGGAGAUGGGUACUGAGACACGGACCUAGGCCCUAUGGGGCGCAGCAGGCGAGAAAACUUUGCAAUGUGCGAAAGCACGACAAGGUUAAUCCGAGUGGUUUCUGCUAAAGGAACCUUUUGUCGGUCCUAGAAACACCGAUGAAUAAGGGGUGGGCAAGUUCUGGUGUCAGCCGCCGCGGUAAAACCAGCACCUCAAGUGGUCAGGAUGAUUAUUGGGCCUAAAGCAUCCGUAGCCUGCUUUGUUAGUUUUCGGUUAAAUCUGUACGCUCAACGUACAGGCUGCCGGGAAUACUGCAAAGCUAGGGAGUGGGAGAGGUAGACGGUACUCGGUAGGAAGGGGUAAAAUCCUUUGAUCUAUUGAUGACCACCUGUGGCGAAGGCGGUCUACCAGAACACGUCCGACGGUGAGGGAUGAAAGCUGGGGGAGCAAACCGGAUUAGAUACCCGGGUAGUCCCAGCCGUAAACCAUGCAAACUCAGUGAUGCAUUGGCUUGUGGCCAAUGCAGUGCUGCAGGGAAGCCGUUAAGUUUGCCGCCUGGGAAGUACGUACGCAAGUAUGAAACUUAAAGGAAUUGGCGGGGGAGCACCACAAGGGGUGAAGCCUGCGGUUCAAUUGGAUUCAACGCCGGG